rnacentral:sRNA from 1 species
UCUGAAGUCGAGAAUGGUGCAGAUAUGAAUCCUUGCAAUUCAUGUAUAGUAGAUUCCCAUAAAAUCCAAUUAUUUUUUACACCACCCCUCUGUAAAGCACAAUCUCUCAAUAUUAAACAAGUUUAUGCAAUUUAGCUUUUUUGAGUCAAAUUCAAAAGGAAGGUUGUGUUAAAGACUAGAAUAUUGAAUGCAUGCACUUUCAAACAGAAAUUAUAUUUUAUGUUUUGUUCAACAUUUAAUUACUGUAAUUGCAAUUUUCAUUUCUCUGAAUAAUCAAACAUUUAUAGUGGCCUGAUACUGGUGUCAUUUAUAUCCAGAUUAUUUAUUUCUGAAUAUACUUUCGAGAUCAUCUUUUUCUAGAGGUUAGAAGUACUUGAUGUAAACAAACUCAAAUUACCUGGUUUCAAUAUUCUAGCUUCAGGAUUUGAAAUCUAAAUGCUUUAGUUUGCAGGCUGCAUCAUUUGUUCAGUGACUAUAGUGAAUAGUUUAGAAAUUUUUUUUUAGAUAUGCAUGUAGUAUUGUAUAUAUUAGUAUAAAACGCAUUCAUACUUGUUAUUUAAUUCUGUGAUUAAAAAAGAAUUUCUGUGAACAGUAUUAGCUUUUAUUAAUACUGCAUUUUUUAUUAAAACUACAUGCAUAUUUUUGCUACCUACAUGUAUUUGUGUUGAAUAACGAAAUAUAACUGUGCAAUAAAAUCCAAACAUUCAGAAUGACAAAACCGUAUGAAACCAGUGGAUAUGGAAUCAGCAAUGGUGGUAACUGAUUAUUUAUUUUCUGAGCUUAAUACAUCAGCCGAUUUUUCUUUAAGAAAAAAUACCAAAACAAUAAAAUGGACCAAUGGUAUAGAAAACCAGGUACUUUUAUUAACAUAACAUGCAUCUGUUAACAACUUUUUGGGGUGCCAUUGGUUGAAUAUUGUUUGAUUAUGAAUGAUGCACUCUAUAGUCAUGAUUAUUUAUACUAUAAAAUAAUGCCUCAGAACUUUUUAUUUACAUGUAAGUCAUUGUAAUAAUAAAUCUUUUUUAUCUUGUUUUCAGCUAGUUAAUAAUCACAGUAGUUUUGUUUGAGAGUUGUCUCCCAUUUAUGAAUUGAUAUUAACUCAUGUAGUCCAAGUCAUAUGUACUCAUGUGUUGUGAAAAAAUCAAAACAACUGGAUCAUCUACUUAAUUAUUUGGACAGUUUUUGUUACAUAAUUGUAUUAUCGUUAUAAUCAAUAUAAUUUUAAUUAUACAGCAAAUAAACCUUAUGCAUUGGC